UGGGGAAUAUUGCACAAUGGAGGGAACUCUGAUGCAGCGACGCCGCGUGAACGAAGAAGGCUUUCGAGUCGUAAAGUUCUUUUAUAUGGGAAGAUAAUGACGGUACCAUAAGAAAAAGCCCCGGCUAACUACGUGCCAGCAGCCGCGGUAAUACGUAGGGGGCUAGCGUUGUCCGGAAUCACUGGGCGUAAAGGGUUCGCAGGCGGAAAUGCAAGUCAGGUGUAAAAGGCAGUAGCUUAACUACUGUAAGCAUUUGAAACUGCAUAUCUUGAGAAGAGUAGAGGUAAGUGGAAUUUUUAGUGUAGCGGUGAAAUGCGUAGAUAUGAAAAAGAAUACCGGUGGCGAAGGAGACUUACUGGGCUCAAUCUGAAGCUGAGGAACGAAAGCGUGGGUAGCAAACAGG
rnacentral:rRNA from 1 species